GUUUGAUCCUGGCUCAGGAUGAACGCUGGCGGCGUGCUUAACACAUGCGAGUCGAACGGUGAAGCAGGAGCUUGCUCUUGUGGAUCAGUGGCGAACGGGUGAGUAACACGUGAGUAACCUGCCCCAGACUCUGGGAUAAGCACUGGAAACGGUGUCUAAUACCGGAUACGAGCUUCAGCCGCAUGGCUAGGAGUUGGAAAGAAUUUCGGUCUGGGAUGGACUCGCGGCCUAUCAGCUAGUUGGUGAGGUAACGGCCCACCAAGGCGACGACGGGUAGCCGGCCUGAGAGGGUGACCGGCCACACUGGGACUGAGACACGGCCCAGACUCCUACGGGAGGCAGCAGUGGGGAAUAUUGCACAAUGGGCGCAAGCCUGAUGCAGCAACGCCGCGUGAGGGACGACGGCCUUCGGGUUGUAAACCUCUUUUAGUAGGGAAGAAGCGAAAGUGACGGUACCUGCAGAAAAAGCACCGGCUAACUACGUGCCAGCAGCCGCGGUAAUACGUAGGGUGCAAGCGUUAUCCGGAAUUAUUGGGCGUAAAGAGCUCGUAGGCGGUUUGUCGCGUCUGCUGUGAAAACUGGAGGCUCAACCUCCAGCCUGCAGUGGGUACGGGCAGACUAGAGUGCGGUAGGGGAGAUUGGAAUUCCUGGUGUAGCGGUGGAAUGCGCAGAUAUCAGGAGGAACACCGAUGGCGAAGGCAGAUCUCUGGGCCGUAACUGACGCUGAGGAGCGAAAGCAUGGGGAGCGAACAGGAUUAGAUACCCUGGUAGUCCAUGCCGUAAACGUUGGGAACUAGAUGUGGGGACCAUUCCACGGUUUCCGUGUCGCAGCUAACGCAUUAAGUUCCCCGCCUGGGGAGNNNNNNNNNNAGAUUAAAACUCAAAGGAAUUGACG
rnacentral:rRNA from 1 species